AGUGAACGCUGGCGGUAGGCCUAACACAUGCAAGUCGAACGGCAGCACAGUAAGAGCUUGCUCUUACGGGUGGCGAGUGGCGGACGGGUGAGGAAUACAUCGGAAUCUACUUUUUCGUGGGGGAUAACGUAGGGAAACUUACGCUAAUACCGCAUACGACCUACGGGUGAAAGCAGGGGAUCUUCGGACCUUGCGCGAUUGAAUGAGCCGAUGUCGGAUUAGCUAGUUGGCGGGGUAAAGGCCCACCAAGGCGACGAUCCGUAGCUGGUCUGAGAGGAUGAUCAGCGACACUGGAGCUGAGACACGGUCCAGACGCCUACGGGAGGCAGCAGUGUGGAAUAUUGGACAAUGGGCGCAAGCCUGAUCCAGCCAUAGCGCGUGGGUGAAGAAGGCCUUCGGGUUGUAAAGCCCUUUUGUUGGGAAAGAAAAGCAGCAGGUUAAUACCCCGCUGUUCUGACGGUACCCAAAGAAUAAGCACCGGCUAACUUCGUG
rnacentral:rRNA from 1 species